AUUGAACGCUGGCGGCAGGCCUAACACAUGCAAGUCGAGCGGAGCGGCGGAAGGGUGCGUAAUAACUAGGAAUCAGCCUGUUAGUAGGGGAUAACGUUCAGAAACGGAAGCUACUAACACAUACUAGCAGAUGAGCCUAGGUCGGAUUAGCUAGUUGGUGGGGUAAUGGCUCACCAAGGCGAAGAUCCGUACCUGGACUGAGAGGAUGAUCAGUCACACUGGAACUGAGACACGGUCCAGACUCCUACGGGAGGCAGCAGUGGGGAAUAUUGGGCAAUGGGCGAAAGCCUGAUCCAGCCAUGCCGCGUGUGUGAAGAAGGUCUUCGGAUUGUAAAGCACUUUAAGUAGGGAGGCGUUACCUACAGAAUAAGCACCGGCUAACUCCGUGCCAGCAGCCGCGGUAAUUC
rnacentral:rRNA from 1 species